UUUAAGGAGGCCCAAUCUUGAAAUAAAACUUAAAGCCCAAAAUAAUUAAAAUGAGAGCCCAUGACUUUAAAUAAUGAGAGAAAAUCCUACUCUCAUUCUCUCCUCUCAUUCCCUGCGCCUCCUCUCUCUCCCAACGUCUCUCUCACUCUACUCCCUCGGUUCUGCCGGACUGUAGCCGCCGGAGAUGGCCAGCCACGCCUCCGGCGAAGUCGCCGCCAACCUCUCCUCUCCUUCUUCUCCCUCGCUGCCCCUUUCACGGUCAGCCGCUGCCCAUCUUAGGCUCGGCCUUCAUCCGGCGACGAGCUGGUCCCACCAGCCGCCGCCUGCCACCACCGCCGCUGCAUACACGGCGGUCUCACCGCCGUCGCCAUCCACCGUCGACCGAGAGAGGAAAGGUUCUCACAUCCCUUUUAUUUAAUUUUUCUUACUAAAGAUUUGAUUUUGAAAACACAAAACUUAGUAUCUGAUUUCGAAAGUUGUAGAAACGGAUAUAUCGUGAAAAGAAGAUCGAAAAGAAAUCAAUUUUGUCGUCGCUCGCCGGAAAGUCGCCGGACAGCCGCCGGAGUGCCGUCGACGUCGCCGGGCAGAAUCUUCGGCUUGAGGAUCAUGAUUUGAAGAAAAAGGAUGGCAUCUAAAGAGUGUAGCUUUGGUUCUCCGAGAAGCCAUUAUUCUUCUUUGUAUAGAUAUAGAAACAUGUAGUAUUUUUCUCACUUGCAUAGUAUAGACUCUAUUAUGUAUAAAUAGACAUUCAAUAUAUACUUGUACUAUAAUUGUAUAUGGACAAUUAUUUCAUAAUUUCUUGUAUGUUCUUGCA